AGCGAACGCUGGCGGCAGGCCUAAUACAUGCAAGUCGAGCGGCCCUUCGGGGCAGCGGCGGACGGGUGAGUAACGCGUGGGAACGCGCCCUUUGGUACGGAACAACUGAGGGAAACUUCAGCUAAUACCGUAUGUGCCCUUCGGGGGAAAGAUUUAUCGCCAUUGGAGCGGCCCGCGUUAGAUUAGCUAGUUGGUAGGGUAAUGGCCUACCAAGGCGACGAUCUAUAGCUGGUCUGAGAGGAUGAUCAGCCACACUGGGACUGAGACACGGCCCAGACUCCUACGGGAGGCAGCAGUAGGGAAUCUUGCGCAAUGGGCGAAAGCCUGACGCAGCCAUGCCGCGUGAAUGAUGAAGGUCUUAGGAUUGUAAAAUUCUUUCACCGGGGACGAUAAUGACGGUACCCGGAGAAGAAGCCCCGGCUAACUUCGUGCCAGCAGCCGCGGUAAAAC
rnacentral:rRNA from 1 species